CGCCCGCCUGCCCGGCGCGGUCCGAGGAUGCGGGGGGGCGAUGCCCGGGGCCAGGGACGCGCUCUGUCACCAGGCGCUGCAGCUGCUGGCCGAGCUCUGCGCCCGUGGGGCCCUGGAGCACGACAGCUGCCAGGAUUUCAUCUACCACCUGCGGGACCGCGCCCGACCCCGGCUCCGCGACCCAGAUAUCUCGGUGAGCCUGCUGACCCUCGUGGUCACUGCCUGUGGCCUCGCGCUUUUUGGCGUGUCUCUCUUCGUGUCUUGGAAGCUCUGCUGGGUUCCGUGGCGAGAACGAGGCCUGCUGUCUGGUAGCAAAGACAACAACCGGGAACCUCUUAACUACACGGACACAGAGACCAAUGAGCAGGAGAACAGUGAGGGCUUCUUAGACCCUCCCACCCCCUGCCCUGACUCCUCCAUGAAGAUCAGCCACACGUCCCCGGACAUCCCCCUCUCAACCCAGGCGGGGGGGCCGGAGAACUGUGCCCAUGGCGUCCGUGUACAGCGCCAAGUCACAGAGCCAACCUCGUCGGCCCGGCAUAAUUCAAUCCGAAGACAACUCAACCUGUCAAACCCAGACUUCAAUAUCCAGCAGCUUCAAAAACAGGAACAGUUGACCGGAAUUGGUCGAAUUAAACCAGAAUUAUAUAAGCAGAGGUCACUGGAUACUGAUGAUGGGACUAGGGGUAACAGCAAAGCCUGUGGGAAACUGAAUUUCAUUUUAAAAUAUGACUGUGACUUAGAGCAGCUCAUCGUGAAGAUUCACAAAGCUGUCAAUUUGCCUGCCAAGGACUUUUCUGGAACUUCAGAUCCUUAUGUCAAGAUCUAUUUGCUUCCUGAUCGGAAAACAAAACACCAGACUAAAGUGCACAGAAAGACCUUGAACCCUGUGUUUGAUGAAGUGUUUUUGUUUCCAGUUCCCUACAAUGACCUUGCAGCACGGAAGCUUCACUUCUCUGUGUAUGACUUUGACAGGUUCUCUCGCCAUGACCUAAUCGGCCAAGUGGUGGUGGAUCACUUCCUAGACUUGGCUGAUUUCCCCAGGGAGUGCAUCCUUUGGAAGGAUAUCGAGUAUGUCACUAAUGACAAUGUGGAUCUUGGAGAGUUGAUGUUUUCCCUCUGCUAUCUUCCAACUGCUGGCAGGCUGACCAUUACCAUUAUAAAAGCAAGGAAUUUAAAGGCAAUGGACAUAACAGGAGCAUCAGAUCCCUACGUGAAAGUGUCCCUGAUGUGUGAUGGCAGACGACUGAAGAAAAGGAAAACAUCCACCAAGAGGAACACUCUGAAUCCUGUUUACAACGAAGCCAUAGUCUUUGACGUCCCCCCUGAGAACAUUGACCAAAUCCACUUGUCCAUAGCCGUCAUGGACUACGACCGGUCAUAAUGAGAUCAUCGGCGUGUGUCAAGUAGGCAACGAAGCUGAGAGGCUGGGCAGAGACCACUGGAGUGAAAUGUUGUCAUAUCCUCGGAAGCCCAUCGCACACUGGCAUUCCCUGGUGGAGAAACGAUGACCAUCAGUUAAGAGGAAUGUUUGUGCCAAGGACACAGUGGGACAACCACCUUACAAAGAUCUUAAGUAACUUUUCUCAUCCAACAACACCCGGACGACUCCAGUGACCAAAUGCUGAGCUGUAACUACGGCAAUAACUGGCCCUCUUUCCAGAUUAGGUUUGGCGAAUAUGAGCGUUCUGGCCAUCUUCAAGUGGCCUAAGGUAGUGUGGGAAGCACGGCUGUCAUGGCCAAGAACAAGAUCGGACUAUGGAAGAAACCACCCGAUGUAGUGAGAACACUAAGAGUACCCUCGAUCACUAGGAUUCUUAGUGAUUAACAUGAGGCCCUUGGUGAUGGGGUCAUAGCACCUGCCCUGGCAACGUCACUCUGACAUGAUAUUUGCUUGGACGCCCUGGAAGGACAGAAUAUUUAAAAAUAUAUCCAGGUGCUAAAUAGGCAGCAGAUCCAAUUCACACUGGACUACCUUUGAGCUAAUAACUGUCUUCAGAAAAUAACUUUACCCCAAAAAGUGCUUCAGCCUUGCAAGGAAUAGCCCCAGGACAGUAAGAGGAUAAACAGGCUGUUCCCCUGGAGAAAAUCUAGUGCAAGGAGGGCUGAUUCACAGCAAAUUCACUGCCCCCUCCCAUGCAUAUGGCAGAGAGUUGAUCAUAGUCCUUUCUGUGCUAAACCCAGAUUCUGAGGAGUCAGAAUCCCUGACAGUGUUUUCUAGAUGGCCAGCAGCCACUUCCUUGCAACGGGUGUUCAAUGUAGAAUGAAAGUUAAUAGCCAUCUCUGUUAGAGAGGCAUGUGUCUCAAUGGCAUAAGCAUUCUGGAAUACCCUUUUCCGAGCAUGCUUGUCCACUGGGGGAACAGCCACAGGAACAGGUGUACCGUUAUGUAUAAGUUGAUGGAGAGGUAACACAACCCUCCCCCUGAGGAAGGCACAAUUUUUGGACCAUCUUGGCCUGAGUGCUUUCUGGGGUAUUUCCAUAUGCAACAGCCCAGGGGCAUAGCCUUGGGCAGCCACAAACAGGCUUCCUUUCACUUCCAGACACAUAUAUCACUUUCAUAGCACUUGGGGAAUGGAAAUACCUACAAGAGUGAAGGUCAAGGGCUCUCCCCGGGUAUCUCAUUCAUUACGCAGCUUCCUUUGUGACCACAUCAGCCAACCCACUGCCAGCUCUGCUCCUCAUCCUCAUUGCUUCUGCCUCCAUACAAAUGAAACCAAAGGCCUUAGCAUACCUUGGGGCGGGGGGAAGGGGGGUGGGUGUUACCUAGUGGUCCUCUCUCUCCUAUUAUGGGUGCAAGGUACCCCAACCACACAUUGCACCACUUCUCCAAGAUAACAUCCUCGGAAGCUCACUAUCUUCAUUUGAAUUAACGUUUCGCUGUGGGACUAACUGGGUGGAAGCAAGAUCCUUGCAUGUCUGCAGAAAGUUCUUACUGUGGCAGCUGCCUGGUGCAAGAAACUCUACACGGAUUUCACAUCUAAAAAGGAGAGAGGCCUUUGGUUGUGUGAGUCAGUGUUACUACACUGUAGCUUCACGCAUUCCCCAGCCUGCCUAGACCAUUUCCAUCUCUGAUUGGCUUUCAACCACCUGGAUCCAAAGAGAAGCCAAGGUUCUGCCUGUGUCUGAUGAUGUGAGAAGAAUUCAACUUUCCUUGCCCAAAGUUCCACCCUGCCUGUUCCUCCCCAUCCAGACAUCCUCCACCUACCAGUGUUUCGAACCAAAGCAUGAAGGACAUGUGCCAGCAGGAUAGCCAGCAGAAAGACUGUCUCUAGAGCCAGGCAGAUGAGCCCAGAAGAAUGGUCCCAGAGAAACCAGACUGGCCCCAAUAGAUAGCAGGCAGCCAUCUCAAUAAACUUUGACAUGUCCUUGGCACUAAGAGCCUGGGUAGGAGAUCCUGGGGCAGCUGUGCCUAUUGUUUCCCCCCUAAGAUCUUCCUGCCCAGAGAGCUAGCAGCCCUGGGUACUACUGAGUAUGUUACUGGCUUGUUGGUGUGAAACAGAAGGUGGCUUUGUAGAGGCUAGCAGGCAAAGAAGCCCGGCUGCAUGGCAGGCUGGUGGCUUUGUGUCUAGAAAGGUUAGUCUAGCCAGUCCAGCUGUGGCCAGAGGCUGUUUCUGGAUUUGAACUCCCCGAGCCCAUCUGCACCUCUGCCUCUGUUCUCUUGCAUUCUGUUUGGUUUCCCUUUAGUUUCCUAGUAAAUGUUCCUUUUGAAAAAUUCCAA